rnacentral:rRNA from 1 species
GAUCCUGGCUCAGGAUGAACGCUAGCUACAGGCUUAACACAUGCAAGUCGAGGGGAAACGACAUCGAAAGCUUGCUUUUGAUGGGCGUCGACCGGCGCACGGGUGAGUAACGCGUAUCCAACCUGCCUACCACUUGGGGGAUAACCUUGCGAAAGUAAGACUAAUGCCCAAUGACAUCCCACGAAGGCAUCCGAAUGGGAUUAAAGAUUUAUCGGUGAUGGAUGGGGGAUGCGUCUGAUUAG